rnacentral:rRNA from 1 species
CGGAGUUAGCCGGUGCUUCUUCUGCGAGUAACGUCACAGCUGGCAGUUAUUAGCUACCAACCUUUCCUCCUCGCUGAAAGUGCUUUACAACCCGAAGGCCUUCUUCACACACGCGGCAUGGCUGCAUCAGGGUUUCCCCCAUUGUGCAAUAUUCCCCACUGCUGCCUCCCGUAGGAGUCUGGACCGUGUCUCAGUUCCAGUGUGGCUGAUCAUCCUCUCAGACCAGCUAGGGAUCGUCGCCUUGGUGAGCCAUUACCUCACCAACUAGCUAAUCCCACCUGGGUUCAUCCAAUCGCGCAAGGCCCGAAGGUCCCCUGCUUUCCCCCGUAGGGCGUAUGCGGUAUUAGCUACCGUUUCCAGUAGUUAUCCCCCUCGACUGGGCAGAUCCCCAGGCAUUACUCACCCGUCCGCCGCUCGCCGGCAAAAGUAGCAAGCUACUUUCCCGCUGCCGCUCGACUUGCAUGUGUAGGCCUGCCGCCAGCGUUCAAUC